UACGAAGGGGGCUAGCGUUGUUCGGAAUUACUGGGCGUAAAGCGUGCGCAGGCGGCUUCUCAAGUCAGGGGUGAAAGCCCAGAGCUCAACUCUGGAAUUGCCUUUGAGACUGAGUGGCUUGAGUACGGGAGAGGUGAGUGGAAUUCCCAGUGUAGAGGUGAAAUUCGUAGAUAUUGGGAAGAACCCCGGUGGCGAAGGCGGCUCACUGGCCCGUAACUGACGCUCAUGCACGACAGCGUGGGGAUCAAACAGG
rnacentral:rRNA from 1 species